CCUACGGGUGGCUGCAGGGAGGAAUAUUGGGCAAUGGGCGUAAGCCUGAACCAGCCAAGUCGCGUGAGGGAUGAAGGUUCUAUGGAUCGUAAACCUCUUUUAUAAGGGAAGAAAGUGUGGGACGUGGACGAUUUUGUAUGUACCUUAUGAAUAAGGAUCGGCUAACUCCGUGCCAGCAGCCGAGGUAAUACGGAGGAGCCGAGCGUUAUCCGGAUUUAUUGGGUUUAAAGGGUGCGUAGGCGGCCUUUUAAGUCAGCGGGGACAGUCUGUGGCUCACCCCUAGAAUUGCCGUUGAAACUGGGGGUCUUGAUUAUGUUUGAGGCAGGCGGCAUGCUUUGUGUAGCGGUGACAUGCU
rnacentral:rRNA from 1 species